GCAUUAAUGGGGUAGUGGUAACCUGGGUCGUUGCCACUUAGCGCGGUUCGACCCGCCGGGGGUUCGAUUCCCUCUUAAUGCA